rnacentral:ncRNA from 1 species
UAACCAGAAACGCCACCAUCUGUACACAAAACAACAAGUUGGCAUGGAUUAUGUAAGCCAGUGUGCCCGCCUGGUUUUGUAAAGUGUAAGUGGUAUGAUUCUUUAAAUUUUUGGUGUCGGGCUCGAUAUUUUUUCACUCUUCACAGACCGACCUAUUCUACUCUUAGAAAGGUUUGAGUAAGAGCGCAUCUGUUGGGACCCGAAAGAUGGUGAACUAUGCCUGAAUAGGGUGAAGCCAGAGGAAACUCUGGUGGAGGCUCGUAGCGAUUCUGACGUGCAAAUCGAUCGUCAAAUUUGGGUAUAGGGGCGAAAGACUAAUCGAACUGUCUAGUAGCUGGUUCCCUCCGAAGUUUCCCUCAGGAUAGCUGGAACUUACGGCAGUUUUAUCAGGUAAAGCGAAUGAUUAGAGGUCUUAGGGUUAAAACAACCUUAACCUAUUCUCAAACUUUAAAU